ACAUUUCUAAUUUGUUUACCUCACAGGUAAAAUCGAAUUGCAAUUGUUUAUAUUUACAAAAAUUAGUGAUCGGUAAUACUAAUGACUUAAAAAUGCAAUAUUAUUUGUUUAGUAUAAUUUAAAUCCAGCAGUGUUGUUACAAAGUGCAAAUAUAACGGGUAUACACAAAUAAGAGGCUUUCGUGAAAGAGACAACUUUCCUAAUAAAAAUGGCUAAAUUUAAAUUCGACAUCAAAUGCAUUUUUAGUCAACCCGUUGUACAAAUAUCAUCCAACUUGUUACCUCACACAUUUAUAGGUGAUAGAAGAAUGGCCAUGGAUGUUACUUCAAAAGUGUCUCAAAUUAUUGACCGGUUAGGUGAACUUUCAGCCGUAGCGCAGAAACUGUCCAAGCCUAUUACAUCAGCACAAAAGCUGCGAAUGUCUGAAAAUCAAACAGUCUAUCUUAUGGCAGAUAUCAACGGAUGUGAUGGAGAUGUCGUUAUAGGACUUUUGAAAAUUGGUACCAAAAAUUUAUAUCUUUUCGAUAGUUCGGGUCAGACGAGGAAAAUUGACAAAGCUCGUUGUAUAUUAGAUUUUUACAUUCACGAAUCGAGACAGCGUAUGGGAGUAGGAAAAAUACUGUUCGAUAUAAUGCUUACAGAGGAGCACUGGACUCCAGUUAAAUGUUCAGUUGACAGACCAUCCGAAAAGUUAAUACAAUUCUUAAAGAAAUACUAUGGCUUGGAAAAAAUUAUACCACAAGCAAAUAAAUUUGUUCUGUAUGAGGGAUUUUUCGACGAAGAUGAGGAUGAUGACGUAAACAGGCGCAAGGUGAUGCUUCCAAUACACAACAGCAGCAGUAUCAAGGCAAACAGCCGUACAAUUUAAAUUCCACUCAUGCUCAUCAUCCAACAUCGGUGCCAGUGCAACCAAAUCAACAAACAACAGAAAUUCUAUCACAGCAACAAGUUUCCAGCCAUCAACCCCAAACAACUUCAGCACCUAUGCAGUGUAAAAAUCAGUUCAAAGAACCACAUUUAUCACAGCCACGAACUGAGGCGCGAAAUCAACAUGCUCAACAACAGCAACAACAACCCAUACAAUCAUCUCCUGUACCUGCUCCAGAACCGGAAUUGUGCACAACUUGCCCUAAUUGUCAAACAACGAUUUACCUUGUUCGAGGACACGAUACCAACAGUGAGCCCGCUCAAGGUUAUACCUCAAACCAACAUGAUACCACUGGUAGCACAACUGCUAAUUAGCACAUUACUUGAAUUGCGAUCGCUCUUUCUGUGCGCUCUUUCAAAAUAAGCAAUUUGUUUUUAUGUCAAGCCAAAUUUUUUUGUAAUAUAAAUUUUCCAAUGUAAAAUUUUUAAUAAAAAUUGUAGCUAUCAUUAAAAUGCA